UGCACAAUCAUGAGAACCAGAGUUCCA
rnacentral:piRNA from 1 species